GUGCCAGCCGCCGCGGUAAUACGUAGGUGGCAAGCGUUGUCCGGAUUUACUGGGCGUAAAGCGCGCGUAGGCGGUUUGGAAAGUCCGUGGUGAAAUCUCCUGGCUCAACCAGGAGGGGUCUGCGGAUACUCCCAGACUUGAGUGCCGUAGAGGAAGGUGGAAUUCCCGGUGUAGUGGUGAAAUGCGUAGAUAUCGGGAGGAACACCAGUGGCGAAGGCGGCCUUCUAGGCGGCAACUGACGCUGAGGCGCGAAAGCGUGGGGAGCGAACCGGAUUAGAAACCCCCGUAGUCC
rnacentral:rRNA from 1 species